rnacentral:rRNA from 1 species
UCAACUUGAGAGUUUGAUCCUGGCUCAGAACGAACGCUGGCGGCAGGCCUAACACAUGCAAGUCGAGCGCGCCCUUCGGGGUGAGCGGCGGACGGGUGAGUAACGCGUGGGAACGUACCCUCUUCUGCGGAAUAGCCACUGGAAACGGUGAGUAAUACCGCAUACGCCCUUUUGGGGAAAGAUUUAUCGGAGGAGGAUCGGCCCGCGUUGGAUUAGGUAGUUGGUGGGGUAAUGGCCUACCAAGCCUACGAUCCAUAGCUGGUUUUAGAGGAUGAUCAGCCACACUGGGACUGAGACACGGCCCAGACUCCUACGGGAGGCAGCAGUGGGGAAUCUUAGACAAUGGGCGCAAGCCUGAUCUAGCCAUGCCGCGUGAGUGACGAAGGCCCUAGGGUCGUAAAGCUCUUUCGCCUGUGAUGAUAAUGACAGUAGCAGGUAAAGAAACCCCGGCUAACUCCGUGCCAGCAGCCGCGGUAAUACGGAGGGGGUUAGCGUUGUUCGGAAUUACUGGGCGUAAAGCGCGCGUAGGCGGAUUGGAAAGUUGGGGGUGAAAUCCCAGGGCUCAACCCUGGAACUGCCUCCAAAACUUCCAGUCUGGAGUUCGAGAGAGGUGAGUGGAAUUCCGAGUGUAGAGGUGAAAUUCGUAGAUAUUCGGAGGAACACCAGUGGCGAAGGCGGCUCACUGGCUCGAUACUGACGC